rnacentral:rRNA from 1 species
UACAGAGGUCUCAAGCGUUGUUCGGAGUUACUGGGCGUAAAGAGUGCGUAGGCGGUUUUCUAAGUUUGGUGUGAAAUCUCCCGGCUCAACUGGGAGGGUGCGCCGAAGACUGGAAGGCUUGAGUAUGGGAGAGGUAAGCGGAAUUCCUGGUGUAGCGGUGAAAUGCGUAGAUAUCAGGAGGAACACCUGCGGUGUAGACGGCUUACUGGACCAUAACUGACGCUGAGACGCGAAAGCGUGGGGAGCAAACAGG